rnacentral:rRNA from 1 species
CAAACGGGUGAGUAACACGUGGGAAUCUACCCAUCAGUACGGAAUAACAUUUGGAAACAGAUGCUAAUACCGUAUAUUCUCUAAGGAGGAAAGAUUUAUCGCUGAUGGAUGAGCCCGCGUAAGAUUAGGUAGUUGGUAGGGUAAUGGCCUACCAAGCCGACGAUCUUUAGCUGGUCUGAGAGGAUGAUCAGCCACACUGGGACUGAGACACGGCCCAG